UCAGAUUGAACGCUGGCGGCAGGCUUAACACAUGCAAGUCGAGCGGUAGCACAGGGGAGCUUGCUCCCNGGGUGACGAGCGGCGGACGGGUGAGUAAUGUCUGGGAAACUGCCUGAUGGAGGGGGAUAACUACUGGAAACGGUAGCUAAUACCGCAUAACGUCGCAAGACCAAAGAGGGGGACCUUCGGGCCUCUUGCCAUCAGAUGUGCCCAGAUGGGAUUAGCUAGUAGGUGGGGUAAUGGCUCACCUAGGCGACGAUCCCUAGCUGGUCUGAGAGGAUGACCAGCCACACUGGAACUGAGACACGGUCCAGACUCCUACGGGAGGCAGCAGUGGGGAAUAUUGCACAAUGGGCGCAAGCCUGAUGCAGCCAUGCCGCGUGUGUGAAGAAGGCCUUCGGGUUGUAAAGCACUUUCAGCGAGGAGGAAGGUGGUGAGCUUAAUACGCUCAUCAAUUGACGUUACUCGCAGAAGAA
rnacentral:rRNA from 1 species